rnacentral:tRNA from 1 species
GUGACUAGAGAGCUUGUAAUAGCACUUGACUUUUAAUCAAGAGAUAGUAUAAUAUAUUUCUAGUUA